rnacentral:tRNA from 1 species
AAGACUUUAAGUUAAUUUAAACUAAAAACCUUCAAAGUUUUCAAUAGAUAUGCUCUAAGUCUUG